rnacentral:misc_RNA from 1 species
GUGCUGACAUCGUUGCAAUAGCUGCUCGCGAUGCAUCUGCUGCCGUUGCAGGACCAUCAUGGACAGUGAAGCUUGGAAGAAGAGACUCCCUCACUGCAAGCAGAGACCUAGCUGAUCAGAACCUUCCUCGCUUUACAAAUACUCUCAGCGAACUCACUUCCUUGUUCAGUAGCAAGAAUCUAAAUCAAAGAGAUUUGGUUGCCCUUUCAGGAUCACAUACAAUUGGCCAAGCAAGAUGUUUCAGCUUCCGUGCAAGAGUUAAC